rnacentral:ncRNA from 1 species
UAUCUUCGGGGCGGGGUGAAAUUCCCCACCGGCGGUAUUUGGCAUCAGCCAUAAGCCCGCGAACUUUUGUUGAUUCGGUGAGAUUCCGAAGCCGACGGUACAGUCCGGAUGGAAGAAGAU